AGUGAACGCUGGCGGUAGGCCUAACACAUGCAAGUCGAACGGCAGCACAGUAAGAGCUUGCUCUUACGGGUGGCGAGUGGCGGACGGGUGAGGAAUACAUCGGAAUCUACUUUUUCGUGGGGGAUAACGUAGGGAAACUUACGCUAAUACCGCAUACGACCUACGGGUGAAAGCAGGGGAUCUUCGGACCCUGCGCGAUUGAAUGAGCCGAUGUCGGAUUAGCUAGUUGGCGGGGUAAAGGCCCACCAAGGCUACGAUCCGUAGCUGGUCUGAGAGGAUGAUCAGCCAGACUGGAACUGAGACACGGUCCCGACUCCUACGGGAGGCAGCAGUGGGGAAUAUUGGACAAUGGGCGCAAGCCUGAUCCAGCCAUACCGCGUGGGUGAAGAAGGCCUUCGGGUUGUAAAGCCCUUUUGUUGGGAAAGAAAAGCAGCAGGUUAAUACCCCGCUGUUCUGACGGUACCCAAAGAAUAAGCACCGGCUAACUUCGUG
rnacentral:rRNA from 1 species